GGACAGAAUUUCAGGAAAUCCUGGCGGUGUAGCGUUGAGCGAAAUUCCUUUAUUUUGGCAAACCCAGCUUAAAGACAAAUCAAGGGAGAGACCAGAGGUAGCCCCAGAUCCAUGAUUUAGGGUGGCUCAACAUGGCAAAGGAAAAGGAUGAAAAAAUGUCUACAGGAUUCACCGAUGCCCCAACGUCAGCUGUUUGAUUGACAGGCUAGAAAACACCCUUCAAAAAAUGAUGGAUGCGAAGCUGGAGAAACUGCACCGGCAGAGUCAAAAGGAGACUUAAUUUGAUUGAAUUGACCAGGUCUUGGACCAGGUUAUCUGAAGGACCAAAUCCUGUACUUUGGUCCAGUAAUUCCGUACCAUCUAGAGCAGGGGUCUCCAACCUUGUCAACUUUAAGACUUGUGGACUUCAACUCCCAGAAUUCCUCAGCCAGCUUUGCAGAGGGAUUGUGAAGUGUUAAUACCACUUUAUAAGUCCUUGGUAAGGCCAAACGUGGAAUACUGCAUCCAGUUUUGGUCGCCACGAUGUAAAAAGAUGUUGAGGCUCUAGAAAGAGUGCAGAGAAGAGCAACAAAGAUGAUUAGGAGACUGGAGGAUGAAACAUGUGAAGAAUGGUUGCAGAAACUGGGUAUGUCUAGUUUAAUAAAAAGGACUAGGGGAGACAUGAUAGCAGUUCUUCCAAUAUCUUUGGGGCUGCCUCAAAGAAGAGGGAGUCAAACUAUUCUCCAAAGCACCUGAGGGUAGAACAAGAAGCAAUGGGUGGAAACUAAUCAAGGAGAGAUGCAAUUUAGAACUAAGGAGAAAUUUCCUGACAGAACAAUUAAUCAGUGGAACGACUUGCCUGCAGAAGUUGUGAAUGCUCCAACACUGGAAUUUUUUAAGAAAAUGUUGGAUAACCAUUUGUCUGAAAUGGUGUAGGGUUUCCUGCCUGGGCAGGGGGUUGGACUAGAAGACCUCCAAGGUCCCUUCCAACUUUGUUAUUAUUAUUAUCAUGAUUUGAUUGCUUAUUUGUACCCUAUGACUAUCAUUAAGUGUUGUUCCUUAGAUUCUUGAUGAAUGUAUCUUUUAU